AGGAGAUGAAGAGACCUCAUAGUCGUGCUUGAGUGUGAGCUCCUCAAAGAAAUGCUCACCCAGAGAUGGCUGGCAAACUCAGUUGCAUUAACUGUGUACCA
rnacentral:miRNA from 1 species